GGAAUCAUUCACGACUUUUCACGCGUGGCGGCGCUGCGGUUCCAUAAGUGGUUACUUGAACGCUUCAAUCACGUAAAACGCUUGCAUCUGUAUUUACAACGUAAACAAUGGCAUCCGAUGAUUACAAUACCUGGUCUGUUCCAGAACUAACGUUACGUGGAGCUGUCACAAGAGACAGAAAUAUAGAUCUUAUAGAAAGAAUCAAUUAGAAGAGCCAAAAUUUAUAAGCUUAGAUUCAAAACAUUCUGGAGGAGCAGAUUGUGUGAAGGUAUUUAUCCUUUUAUAGCCUCAAUCUAUAUCACAAAAAUGUAUUUGUGUUAAAAUAUACAAUUACCAUUAAGAGAGUUGAUUUUUUGUAAGACCAAGUAAAGGUUACAGGUCCUAAUCUCAGUUGGGAAAAUGAUACUGUACAGUUUUAUUUUAGUACUGGUGAACUCUACCGUUACAGACUCGUAUGAUAAUAAUACACCUGAAACUCCACAGAUGUACGUGUAUAUCUUCCGAAUCCAGCCACACUGAUUAGAUGUCGCUUUUCAAUAUAAAUUUUUAUGAAACCAGACUGGAUUAAAAUAAAAUUUUCUUGUGUAAUUUGAUGAAAUUUAAAUUAUCUCCACUAGUUUACUCACUAAACAACAGGACUAAUCUGUUAACAUUUUCUUUACAGAAGCAAGCAGAAGUCAAGAGAAAUAAAAAGAAUGGAACAAAAGAAAAAAUUGAAAAAGAACAGUGAAAUGACAAAAUUAAAUAAAAAUUUUGCAUUUCUUA